rnacentral:lncRNA from 1 species
AUCCACAGGACCCGCAGCGAGAACAAAUCAUCACUGAACCAAGUCAAAGUUGCCUACAAUUAGGCGGUUGAAUUAGGAUCAUCGAAUGCGCGAUUGCAGGCUGUUUAUAAAAUUACGUUCGUCUACGGCGUACGGAUGCAUGGAUAUUAGAGACUUUUCAAAUUGGUAACUGUAUUUGAGGCUGUUUAUAGAACUUAUAACCAAGCUCUAUGGAAUAUGUUGCGAGCAACGGAUCAAGAGUUACAGCCGAAAAACGUAAGAUUUCCUUCCAGAAGAAUUACCUCUGCUCUUCAUCUUACGCUCGUUGUGAUGCCUCUUUCCCAUUCCUCAGGGUCCGAUUAGUGGUAAAACAGUCUUGCAAAAUGAUUUUGAGACGAAAAAUUUCCGAACUCAUAAAAUUUGAAAAAAAGCAAGGUUUUUUGAUUUUGGAUUUGUUUGAUUAAAAUUUGACUGAUUAUGAAAAAUAGGUAAAUUAAUUAUUUGAUGCACUACAUCGACGUAAUUUUUCGAGUGGAAUCGAUUGCGCGCAGUCCGAAUACGCCAUCACGCAGCUACUUUAUCUCGCUUCUUCAUGUUGCCCAUUCUUUCACAAUCCCAGAUUGCUAAAUUAUUCGAUUAAAAACGUAAUUGAGAUCCAUUAGCCUAACCACGUCGGUUUCGACUCGCGGCAUUUUCCUUGGCGUCGGUUCACAUUUUGCUGGCGCUGCCGCGUGAAUUUGACGCCCGUGAAAAUCCAGCCCAAGACAUUCUUGCUGGCGUGAUUUUCAAAUUUCACAUAAUUAGAAGCGGUUUUAAAGACUUCAUGAUUAUCAAAAAUGAUUGUUAGAUUGCGGACGUUUUCGCAGUAUUACAAUGAUUAGAAAAUAACUACAAUAAAGGGUGACGCAAUGACUGCUUU